UACGGAGGGUGCAAGCAUUAAUCGGAAUUAUUGGGCGUAAAGGGCGCGUAGGCGGAUUCGUAAGUCAGAUGUGAAAUUCCGAGGCUCAACUUCGGAGCUGCAUUUGAAACUACGAUUCUAGAGGGUAGAUGGAGAAAGCGGAAUUCCACAAGUAGCGGUGAAAUGCGUGGAUAUGUGGAAGAACACCGGUGGCGAAAGCGGCUUUCUAAUUUAUUCCUGACGCUGAGGCGCGAGAGCGAGGGGAGCAAACAGG
rnacentral:misc_RNA from 1 species